rnacentral:lncRNA from 1 species
ACUCUUUCAAUCAGUCAGCAUUAGGGUUUUAAACCUUAAACUGAACUUUUUCCAUUCAGCCAGCAUUAGGGUUUUAAACCCUAAACUGAGCUUUUCCAUGCAGUCAGCAUUAGGGUUUUAAACCCUGAACUGAAUUUUCCCUUUAUUCAGCAUUAGGGUUUUAAACCCUAAACUGAACUUUUUCCAUUCAGCCAGCAUUAGGGUUUUAAACCCUAAACUGCGCUUUUCCAUGCAGUCAGCAUUAGGGUUUUAAACCCUGAACUGAAUUUUCCCUUUAGUCAGCAUUAGGGUUUUGAAACCCUAAACUGCACUUUUUCCAUUUAGUCAGCAUUAGGGUUUUAAACCCUAAACUGAACUUUUCCCUUUAGUCAGCAUUAGAGUUUAAACCCUAAACUGAACUCGUUCCCUUUAGUCAGCAUUAGGGUUUUAAACCCUAAACUGAACUUUUCCCUUUAGUCAGCAUCCCUAAACUGAACUUUUUCCAUUUAGUCAGCAUUAGGGUUUUAAACCCUAAACUGAACUCUUUCCAUUUAGUCAGCAUUAGGGUUUUAAACCUUAAACUGAACUUUUUCCCUUUAGUCAGCAUUAGGGUUUUAAACCCUAAACUGAACUUUUUCCAUUUAGUCAGCAUUAGGAUUUUAAACCCUAAACUGAACUCUUUCCUUUAGUCAGCAUUAGGGUUUUAAACCCUAAACUGAACUUUUUCCCUUUAGUCAGCAUUAGGGUUUUAAACCCUUAACUGAACUUUUUUCCUUUAGUCAGCAUUAGGGUUUUAAACCCUAAACUGAACUUUUUCCAUUCAGUCAGCAUUAGGGUUUUAAACCCUAAACUGAACUUUACCUUUAGUCAGCAUUAGGGAUUUAAACCCUAAACUGAACUCUUUCCCAUUCAGUUAGUAUUAGGGUUUUAAACCCUAAACUGAACUUUUUCCAUUCAGUUAGCAUUAGGGUUUUAAACCCUAAACUGAACUCUUUCCAGCCAGUCAGUAUUAGGGUUUUAAACCCUAAACUGAACUUUUCCUUUAGUCAGCAUUAGGGUUUUAAACCCUAAACUGAACUUUUUCCAUUCAGUCAGCAUUAGGGUUUUAAACCCUAAACUGAACUCUUUCCUUUAGUCAGCAUUAGGGUUUUAAACCCUAAACUGAACUCUUUCUUAGUCAGCAUUAGGGUUUUAAACCCUAAACUGAACUUUUUCCAUUCAGUCAGCAUUAGGGUUUUAAACCCUAAACUGAACUCUUUUCCAUUCAGUCAGCAUUAGGGUUUUAAACCCUAAACCGAACUCUUUUCUUUAGUCAGCAUUAGGGUUUUAAACCCUAAACUGAACUCUUUCCAUUCAAUCAGCAUUAGGGUUUUAAACCCUAAACUGAACUCUUUCCAUUCAGUCAGCAUUAGGGUUUUAAACCCUAAACUGAACUCUUUCCGUUCAGUCAGCACUAGGGUUUUAAACCCUAAACUGAACUCUUUUCCUUCAGUCAACAUUAGGGUUUUAAACCCUAAACUGAACUCUUUUCCUUCAGUCAGGAUUAGGGUUUUAAACCCUAAACUGAACUCUUCCCUUUAGUCAGCAUUAGGGUUUUAA